UUGGAGGGCAAGUCUGGUGCCCGCAGCCGCGGUAAUUCCAGCUCCAAUAGCGUAUAUUAAAGUUGCUGCAGUUAAAAAGCUCGUAGUUGAAUUUCGGGACCAUCAUGUCGGUCGUGCCUCGGUACGUACUGGCAUUGUUGGUUUCUCCCUUCUGACGAACCACGAUGUCAUUUAUUUGGUGUUGUGGGGAAUCAGGACUGUUACUUUGAAAAAAUUAGAGUGUUUAAAGCAGGCUCACGCUUGAAUACAUUAGCAUGGAAUAAUGAAAUAGGACGUUUGAUUCUAUUUUGUUGGUUUCUAGGAUCGACGUAAUGAUUAAUAGGGAUAGUUGGGGGCAUUAGUAUUCAAUUGUCAGAGGUGAAAUUCUUGGAUUUAUUGAAGACUAACUACUGCGAAAGCAUUUGCCAAGGAUGUUUUCAUUAAUCAAGAACGAAAGUUAGGGGAUCGAAGACGAUCAGAUACCGUCGUAGUCUUAACCAUAAACUAUGCCGACUAGGGAUCGGAUGAUGUUAAUUUUUUAAUGACUCAUUCGGCGCCUUACGGGAAAC
rnacentral:rRNA from 1 species